UAGUCGCACGAGCGCACCCUUGCUCCCUAGUUUGCCAGCACUUCAGGCUGGGAACUCUAGGGAGACUGGCGGGUGNAUUAACCGGGAAGAAGGUGGGGAUGACGUCCAGUCAUCAUGGCCCUUAUGGGGAGGGCUACCCACGUGCUNCAAUGGCCGGUACAGAGGGCGGCGAAGCCGCGAGGGGGAACGAAUCUCAGAAAACCGGUCGUAGUCCGGAUUGCAGUCUGCAACUCGACUGCAUGAAGCCGGAAUCGCUAGUAAUUGCGGAUCAGAACGCCGCGGUGAAUACGUUCCCGGGCCUUGUACACACCGCCCGUCACACCAUGGGAGUGGGCUGUACCAGAAGUAGGUAGUCUAACCUUCAGGAGGACGCUUACCAAGGUGUGGUUCAUGACUGGAGUGAAGUCUUAACAAGGUAUCCCUAGGGGAACCUGGUGCUGGAUCACCUCCUUU
rnacentral:rRNA from 1 species